rnacentral:rRNA from 1 species
UGGGGAAUAUUGGACAAUGGGCGCAAGCCUGAUCCAGCCAUGCCGCGUGUGUGAAGAAGGCCUUUCGGUUGUAAAGCACUUUAAGCGAGGAGGAGGCUACUUGGAUUAAUACUCUAGGAUAGUGGACGUUACUCGCAGAAUAAGCACCGGCUAACUCUGUGCCAGCAGCCGCGGUAAUACAGAGGGUGCGAGCGUUAAUCGGAUUUACUGGGCGUAAAGCGUGCGUAGGCGGCUUUUUAAGUCGGAUGUGAAAUCCCUGAGCUUAACUUAGGAAUUGCAUUCGAUACUGGGAAGCUAGAGUAUGGGAGAGGAUGGUAGAAUUCCAGGUGUAGCGGUGAAAUGCGUAGAGAUCUGGAGGAAUACCGAUGGCGAAGGCAGCCAUCUGGCCUAAUACUGACGCUGAGGUACGAAAGCAUGGGGAGCAAACAGG